GACGAACGCUGGCGGCGUGCUUAACACAUGCAAGUCGAACGGUAAGGCCCUUUCGGGGGUACACGAGUGGCGAACAGGUGAGUAACACGUGAGUAACCUGCCCUUGACUCUGGGAUAACAUCUGGAAACAGGUGCUAAUACUGGAUAUUCUGCGAUGCCUGCAUGGGUGUUGUUGGAAAGUUCCGGCGGUCAGGGAUGGACUCGCGGCCUAUCAGCUUGUUGGUGAGGUAGUGGCUCCCCAAGGCUUCGACGGGUAGCCGGACUGAGAGGUGGACCGGCAACAUUGGAACUGAUAUACGGCCCAAACUCCUACGGGAGUCAGCAGUUGGGAAGAUUGCACAAUGGACGGAAGUCUGAUGCAGCAACGCCGCGUGCGGGAUGACGGCCUUCGGGUUGUAAACCGCUUUCAUCCAUGACGAAGCGAGAGUGACGGUAGUGGGAGAAGAAGCACCGGCUAACUACGUGCCAGCCGCCGCCGUAA
rnacentral:rRNA from 1 species